ACUGGAAUUGUUUGUGAUUAGCAGUGAGUCAAAGGGAACAUUGCAAGGUUUGGGGUUGGGGUUCUUUCCUUUCUGACUUAUGCUAUUCUCCCUUAUAAGGUUUUGUUUUGCUGUUUAUUAUGUGCAGUUUAGCUCUUCUGUCCCCCCACACGGCUUGGUGGGUUUUUAUAAUAGUGUGAGUUGAUGGGCUUUAAAAUCGUAAGCUAUCAUUUUCUAGUUUUUUUCUUCUAAAAACAGUCCACCUCCCUUAAGCUUAGCUCUAGAGUUCUUUAAAUAAAACUCGAAUUGAAGAAAUAGUCAUAUUUCUGACGAGCUGUGAGACUUACCAAGGUCACUUUUGUUUGCUGUAUCACUUAAAAUACAAUUUCACUUACAAUUGCCUGGCAUGGAUGAGUGCAUUUUUUAAAUGUACAUAAUACUUUUUGACAUUUGGAAAUGAGAAGCUAUGAAAAUAAGGUUGAUAAACCAGUAAAGAAGUCUUUCCUUAAAUGGUCACAAUCUGCCAAGAGCUGAUAAGGAAAAGGAUCCUGUGGGGACAAUGACAAGAAACUUACAGCCAUCAACCCCAUGUCAGCACUGGGCGAGAAAACAAAUAGAAUUCCAGACAAUUCAGAACAAAUACUACAAAUCAGAGAUGAUCCCCAAACCUCCUUUCAAUCUGACCCUUUUGAAAGACAACUAAGAAGCACAAAGGACAUUGGACAACUCCACACGAAUAGUUACACUGUGCCUUUUCUUUCGUCUUUCUUCUCUUGACCUCAAAUUAAAUUUGUUUUCAGUAAAAAGUUUUCUCUAUGGAGUAUAUCAUUUCAUCUCCAACAUAAAACACUCAAGAAGAGACUGAGGCAGAGCAAGGAUUCUAGACUCUAUUGACUUUAACCAAUGAAGUAGAGAUGCCUGAAAGUUUCCAACAGAUUGAAACUGAGAAGCACUAGACCAGAAAUCUAGCAGAUUCUGUGGGUCAAGAAUUCAGUCAAGGCACACUCCAAGGGACUGGACACCGAAAUGUUUCAAUCAGACUAUAAGAAGGCUGAGCUGAAGACUAGAAUUAGCUGAGGGCUGGCUCACUCACUUUUCUGGCAAUUGAUGUUCGCUGUUGUCCAAGAUCCACCUGGGGCCUCUCCAGUAGCCUGAACUUUACAAAUGAAGAUGGAUAACUUUCAUGACAUAUGCAUCUCUCAAGCAGACUGAAAAGAAAUUAUGUUUAAUAUUUACAUUUAAUGAAAUCAUAAUACACUGCUAAUCAAAUUGUUACCUUUUAAAUGGCUGAAUGGAAAAUCAGGGCUAAAACACUUGGAAGGAAAAGAAAAUAACUUCUAUAAUAUUUGUGACACAGACCUUAAAUUAGCAAAUUAAAGAACUCAUUGCAAUAAUAUAUAGCCCAGUCUGUUUUGAAUAUUUUUAGCAAUUGCCAAACUAUUUUUGAAUUCACUUAUAUAAGUUCAGGUUGUAAUCACAACUAAUUUAAAAGAAUCAUCCAAAGAUAACAAGAAUAGUAUGCUAUGUUAUUAUCCAGAAGGGACUGAAAUAAUCCUUUUUUUUAAAUGUUUAUUUUUGAGGCAGAGAGUGAGUAAGGGAGGGGGACACAGAAUCUGAAGUCGGCUCCAGGCUCAGAGCUGUCAGCACACAGCCCGACGAGGGGCUCGAACUCAAGAAUCGUGAGAUCAUUACCUGAACCAAAGUCAGAUGCUUAACCAACUGAGCCACCCAGGUGCCCCAAGAGACGACUGAAGUAAUUCUAAAUGAUGGCUUUUUAUUUUCAGUGUGAAAAAACCUCCCUGUUCCCACUUUAUGACUUUUAGAUUGUUAAUGAAAUUGUUUCUGUUUGACUGAAUAAUACCCCUUAUGGACAGAACAUACAUUCCAAGACCCCCAGUGGAUGCCUGAAACCACUGAUAGUACCUGUCAGAAAACACUAUGUAUAUACCACUGAACAAUAUAUAUACUAUGUUUUUUCCUAUACAUACACACAUGUGAUGAAGUUUGCUUUAUAAAUUGGGCAUAGUAAGAGAUUAACAAUAAUAAUAAUAAAAUACAAUAAUCAUAAAAAUAGCACUAAUAAAAGUUAAGUGAAUAUGGUCUCUUUCAAAGUGUCUUAUGGUACUUCACUCCCCCUUCUUAUUCUUGUCAUGAUGUGUGAUAAUAAAAUGUCUCCAUGAUGAGAUGAAGCAGGCUAAAUGAUGUUGGCAUUGUGUGGUAACAUUAAGCUACUAUUGACCUUCUGACAACACAUCACAAGUAUCAUCUCCUUCCUGACCAAGGUUGAUGGGGUAACUGAAAUUGUGGAAAGGGGAGGACUACUGCAUGUAAUAUGUCAAAAAAGGACUUCACGGAUGUGAUUAAGACAAUGGGAUUUGAGAUGGGUUGACUUAUCUUAGCUAUCUGGUGGCCCCAGUCUAAUCACAGGAGCCCUUGAAAGUGACACACUUUCCCUGCUGAGAUUAGAGAGAGAUGCCUCAGAGGAACUGGAAGCAGAAGAGAUAUAACAUUGUGAGAAGUAUUCCACCUGUUCUUGCUGGCUUUGAGAUAUACCAUUACCAGGAAGGAGGCCUCUGGGAGUUAAGGUGGGGCUGGGGUGACAGCCAGCAAGUAAACAGGACCUAUGCUGCAUGCCAACAACUUGAAUGAGCCUGGAAACAGAUUUUCCCCUUGGAUCUCCAGAGAGGAAUACAGCUCUGGCGAAACCUUGAUUUUGGCCUUGUCAGACAUGAGCAGAGAGACCAGCUGAGGACAUGGGACUUCUGAUCUACAAAACUGUGAAAAAUAAAUUCAUGUUGUUUUAAGUGAUGAAAUGCUGAGUAAUUUGGUACAGCAACAGAAAACGAAUACAAUGUUUUCUCAGCUUUUCUUAUGUGAAUU